AUAAAUCUUUGAAAAAUAUUAAAAAUAGAAACCUUAGAUAAAUCCUAACAAAAUUGUAAUGUAGCCAUAAAAAAAUUCUAAUGAAAUCUUAAAAAAAUCCUUAUAAAAUCUUAAUAAAAUUUUAAAUCCUUAUCAAAUCCUAAACCAACUAUAAUAAAAUUUUAAAAAAAUUCUAAUAAAAUCCUAAACCAAUUCUAAUCAAAUUUUAAUUAAAUAUUAAUCAAAUCCUAAAUCAAUCCUAAAUCAAUCCUAAAU
rnacentral:lncRNA from 1 species